rnacentral:rRNA from 1 species
CCGCGCAGUUAAGCGCAGGCAAAAUACUGUAAUGAUCCUUCCGCAGGUUCACCUACGGAAACCUUGUUACG